rnacentral:rRNA from 1 species
CCUACGGGCGGCUGCAGUGGGGAAUAUUGGACAAUGGGCGAAAGCCUGAUCCAGCCAUGCCGCGUGUGUGAAGAAGGCCUUCGGGUUGUAAAGCACUUUCAGUGGGGAAGAAAGCCUUGGGGCUAAUACCCUCGAGGAAGGACAUCACCCACAGAAGAAGCACCGGCUAACUCCGUGCCAGCAGCCGCGGUAAUACGGAGGGUGCGAGCGUUAAUCGGAAUUACUGGGCGUAAAGCGCGCGUAGGCGGUCUGAUAAGCCGGUUGUGAAAGCCCCGGGCUCAACCUGGGAACGGCAUCCGGAACUGUCAGGCUAGAGUGCAGGAGAGGAAGGUAGAAUUCCCGGUGUAGCGGUGAAAUGCGUAGAGAUCUGGAGGAAUACCAGUGGCGAAGGCGGCCUUCUGGACUGACACUGACGCUGAGGUGCGAAAGCGUGGGUAGCAAACAGGAUUAGAUACCCGAGUAGUC